AAUGCUACACUCCAUGAACAAUAUCCAGCCCUAUACAAUAUUGUGCUUCACAAGGGUGAUGCUAUCGCCAAGGUUUUGGAAUCAUUUCCGCCAAAUGUGAUGUUCAGAAGGGAUUUAAUUGGACCUAGACUCUAAUCAUGGAACAUACUACUCCAGCGGCUAGCCACGGUACAUUUGUCACAAGGGUCCGAUGUAUUUCGUUGGAACCUACAUGGGAAUGGGAAAUUCUCAGUGGAUUCUAUGUAUAGAGCUUUGAUCCAGUCUACCGUGUCGGUUGAUAUUAAUAAGAAGAUCUGGAAGAUGAACAUACCUCUUAAGAAUAAAAUCUUUGCAUAUAUCUUCGUCACGGAGUCAUUCUUGCAAAAGAUAACCUGGUUAAGAGGAAUUGGCAUGGAAGUACACAAUGUGUCUUUUGUCCGCAUGAUGAGAUAA
rnacentral:rRNA from 1 species